GCAGCCUUUCUCUGAUCGGGGACAGUAACGGGGGGCUGCUCACCUUGCCGGGCCACCACCACGGGGAGCAGCCACCGAGCCUUGGGCCGGGCAGGAGCCUGGGUUCCGGGAUUAGAGCAGACUCAUCGCAGCUCUUGCUCCAAGCCAGCGCACCAUGCUUCCAGUUCCAGUCAUCCUUGGAAUUUUAAAGCUCGCUGGAUUGAUUGCCGUCAUGGCAGGAAUUACAGUUAUAGCAGUACACCAUGACAAGAUAUUAGUCAAAGUAAGGAAAUCUCAGAAGGGAUCUUUUUCCUUCACUAUUGCAGCUGAGGGGAAACGAAAGGACUGACUCUGCCCUGCAAGCAGCAUUAGACAUCAUGCUGUCCAUUGGAAGAACUCCUGGUGCCCACUGCCAGCGAACAGGAGGUGAUUUUCUUCCUUCCAAGUGGCCUGAUUGCUGUCUUCCCACUGCAGAAACUGGAAAGCCCCCGGAGACCCCCAGCAGCCCCAUCAAAAGUUUUGGAUGGCCUUGAGCAAUAAAUGCUUUUGAAAGCUUUAAUAAAAGUGCUUUGCUGGUGUG